UAGGUAUAGUUUCAACUGCAUCAAGUAAAGCAUGUGUUUGGAGUUGAUCAACAUAUAAUAACUUGUGAAUUAGUAUUGCGGAAUCGAUAAACUUAAAUACAUUAAUUAGGAUUAGAGUUCAUGUCAUGCAUUUGGUAAUUUUCUUAUAUAUGUGGUUUAAUAUACUUAUUCAUUAAUCAUAUGAAAGACUUUAUUUAAUUAUUGGCUAAAGUUAUGUUCCCAGCUUAUACACCAAAAAGACAGCAUGCAUAUUUAUAUUUGUAUUUCACAUGUCCCUUGUUCUGCAAGUUGUACUCAUUCAAACGUUCUGUUAUGACCAUGUUAUUAUUUUAGAUCAACCAAAAGGGCAUUUGAAAUAGGUGUUGUUAAGUUAGUAAUCUCAAGUGCUUUGACUGGGAUUAAAGUUCUUGUCUUGCAUAUAGUGAUUUUCUUAUACUUGUGAAUAGGAGCUUAUCACAGUUGUGGUUUCUUGUGUUAAUAUCUCGGAGCAAUGCUUUGGAAUCCAGGUUUACGAACUAAACAAUCUAAGAGGGUAGACGGGAUGAGAUCAGAUUAAGUGUGAGGAUGGAAUUUUGUAUUUCUUUAUUUUAGCCUUGUAAAGAAUUAUUGAAUUAUUUUAAAUAAGAAGAAUUUUAUUUUCCAA